rnacentral:ncRNA from 1 species
AAUAGUCUGCCACCGGGUAGGAAUGUAAAAACAUUCGUGUGCAUAUCGUUAGGUCUUUGAAGAUAUGCAUAUGAAUGUUUUAUUUUU